rnacentral:tRNA from 1 species
UAAGGAUUUAAGUUAACUUAAACUAAUAACCUUCAAAGUUAUAAAUAAAGAAUAUCUCUUUAAACCUUAA